AAUGAAUGAUGACAAUUUGUUUCGGUCCCAGAUGAACAGUGAUUACUAUUUUCAAAUUCUGACAUU